AAUGGGUAGGUGAUGUAAUGACAGAACAAUUUCUUUCAUAAAGUAUCAUCAGGUAUAAUAAUGCUAUUGAUGCCUUAAUGUAGCAUUCAAUUUUAAGAACAAAAUCAUAUACACACUGUAUGUGAGUCCAAGAAGUUAAAUCUCACAUAUAGCAAUAGAUAAGGGUAAUAUCAAAACAUAAUGCUUAAUAUAUAACAUACUUAAUACAAAAGAUAUAAUCUUAGGUGCAAAUGGUGAAUAGAUAACUUCAAUCCUUCUUGGGUCAAGACUAUACUCCAUAAGGAUAACUAAUUGGUCGGUCACAAGCCUAACUCCUCAAAACUCUAGCAAUCUGGUAUCUAUCCGGAACUUUUAUCGAAAUAAAAUAUAAAAGCAAGCCUAUGUGUCAUACUCAACAAGAAUAUCAUAGGGUUUAUGAGGAUCAAAAGGUUGACAUGGGUUUGACUACAUUUAGUUUUUAGUUAUCACAGUUUUAGCAUUUGAGUAGCAACAAGUUGUUAUAACCCAUAGUAAACACAUGAUCAGGUAAACAUGAUUAAUGAAUAGCAUAAAUAAAUAGUCACUAGUGAUCAUCUAUUCGAUAAAUGUUCCAACCACUUGUAACUGUGAGCACAACUGAUAUAUCAGUUUUACACUCUGUAGAGAUUGUACACUUUCACUGUGAGUCUGAUACUUAUAUACCCAGGUUUAUAACUCCCAAAAUACUCCCAAGGCGAAUAGAAAGGGAUCAUUAUGAAGCAUUUCAAAGGUUCGUCUAACAAGUUAGGGCCGCUAGGUUUCCAUGCCCUGUGAAUGUAGGGCUCCCCUUCUCGAUGGCACAUUCGGUGCAGGCUAUACACAUAAGGAUAGAGGCCACACUACACCCAACAUGAAACACGCCCCAUUUGCACCCUUGUGGGUAACCUAUAACAAGGUAGAAAAGGUCCUCAUGCUUCUAAAACCAGAGCCACUAGAUGAUCACUUAUAGAUAAGUCCUUAGGGAGAGGAAUCUAGAGCAUCCUACCCAAUGCAUUAAUCAUUAUCGACUAUUUAUGGUUGUCAAGUAGGAAAAAGUAUUAUGGUU
rnacentral:lncRNA from 1 species